rnacentral:lncRNA from 1 species
AUUUAUUUUAUAUUGAAAGCUGAGGACAGUAAGAUUCGACUCUGGUUUAAGAAUAUUUAUAUCUCCUUCUGAAUCUGCUAAUACCUACUUCCCGUUCACUGAUACUUUGAGUUACCAGUCGGGUAUCCUUAGCACGACAAUGCAUGUAUACUUGUAACGUAUCUACUGCUAUAUGUAUUCUUCAUUAGUUACAUGCCAUCAUCUACAAUAAGUCGGGCUGAAAAGGGUACAUGUAUUGUUGAUUAUUAAUACGUAAAUAUAUAGAAUGCUCUAGAAUGAUUGGAGAUUUAUUUGUGCUUUCAGAUUUAGUUACCAAACAUUGAAGCUAAUUGAGAACAUUAUGUUGGCUGCAAUUGUUUUUAAGUUAUUUGUCACUAUUUGGUAUAUAUGUUAAAAAAUAUUACAGUAGCAACCAUUUGUGUAUGAUGAAUAGUAUUAAUCUUUUUGUGAGAUGCCUGAAACAUUCACAUGGUAAAGUGAAAAAAAAGUGCUCCUUAUUUACCCGGUCAACCCGUUUGAUAAUUAUAAUCCUUUACGCAGGUGUGAAAUGUUAAGUUAAGGUCUUCUUUAUCUGUUUAUAUCGAUUUUUAUCAUCAUUAUUGAAAUACAGCAGACAGAAAAAUUUAUUUUUUGUUCUGCGUUGUUGUUUAGCUAUGGACAAUAAAGGUCAUGUCCUGGUCUUGACAUCCUCGACAUUAGGUGAACCCGAUCAGGCACAAAGAAUGCUAGCCUGGAAUGAACCUUGACGUCCUGCAUAAAUAAAUCUGCAUAUUCACGGCAUAUCUUAUUCUUUAAAUAACAGUUAAACCGUAACUAAUUUCAUUUUUGAACGCUCAUUAAUUUAAAUGAUUGCUGGUCCUACAUGCUUGUGGAAUUAAUAUGCAUGUGGGUUGUUCAAGUACUAUAAGAUCAGACGAAUACGACCAUCUUUAGUCAUGUUUUAAACCAUGUCAAAUAUGACAGCUGUCCAAACGUUAAAACUAAAUCCAAAAUCGUACAAAAUAUCUAAUUUUCACACUUUCUUAAGACUUCCAGAGUGUCUUAGUUUUUAUGCCAUGCCGCGCUGCCAUGACAGAGGGUGCAUUAAAAAGUACCAUUAUCCGUCUUUAUGUCCGUCAAUACGUUUGUCCGUGUACAUAAAUGUGUGUACGUCCAAAAAUUAGUGUCCGUUCUCUUACCUUAUUUAACCAAAUAGUAUGAAAUGUAUACAUUAUGUUAAUUAACAUCAAAUACAGAUCAUAUUUGAAUACGGGUGGCGUCAUUUUGCCGUUCUCUAGUCCUGGCCGUUUAUAAAUAGAAAAAAAUGAAGACUUUCAGUUUCCGCACUCUCACUUUACCUAUUUUCCUGAACCAAAUGUUAUGAAACUUAUAUACAAUGCCUAUAAGCACAAAACAUGUACUUACCUGGUACAAACAACAUGAUGAUGUUCUCCGUACGCACGAGCAAGGAAAACGAGCAAAAGGAUGCCAUCAGGAAAACAAAAAAAAAAAUAUAAAAAAGUUUAAAAUGCAACUAGAUCCCAAAUAACCGCCCCAUGGUGUAAGGUGUGAGCUGCAACCUCAGUGUUAAAUUAAUAUUUAAAAAAAAAGUAUCAUCGUGGAUGUCAUUACAGUGUACUGGAUUGAAAAGGGAGAAAUGGAGGGUAUAAAAGUUAUAAAAAAAACCUCCAAGGUCAAUGUCACAAUUGUUUUCGAAGAUUGAUGUUUUUCUUUUCUUGUCCUGGAUUUUAAGUGAUUAUAAGAUAAAUAGUGUACAUUGCGAAAAAAAGUUGCUUAGAUUAAUGAGCCAAUCGCUUUUUAACUAUUCAU